GAUGAACGCUGGCGGCGUGCCUAAUACAUGCCAGUCGAGCGAACGGACGAGAAGCUUGCUUCUCUGAUGUUAGCGGCGGACGGGUGAGUAACACGUGGAUAACCUACCUAUAAGACUGGGAUAACUUCGGGAAACCGGAGCUAAUACCGGAUAAUAUUUUGAACCGCAUGGUUCAAAAGUGAAAGACGGUCUUGCUGUCACUUAUAGAUGGAUCCGCGCUGCAUUAGCUAGUUGGUAAGGUAACGGCUUACCAAGGCAACGAUGCAUAGCCGACCUGAGAGGGUGAUCGGCCACACUGGAACUGAGACACGGUCCAGAGUCCUACGGGAGGCAGCAGUAGGGAAUCUUCCGCAAUGGGCGAAAGCCUGACGGAGCAACGCCGCGUGAGUGAUGAAGGUCUUCGGAUCGUAAAACUCUGUUAUUAGGGAAGAACAUAUGUGUAAGUAACUGUGCACAUCUUGACGGUACCUAAUCAGAAAGCCACGGCUAACUACGUG
rnacentral:rRNA from 1 species